rnacentral:rRNA from 1 species
CGAACGGUAGCAGGCCUUCGGGCGCUGAUGAGUGGCGGACGGGUGAGUAACGCGUAGGAAUCUGCCUCAUAGUGGGGGACAACGUGGGGAAACUCACGCUAAUACCGCAUACGCCCUACGGGGGAAAGCGGGGGACCUUCKGGCCUCKCGCUAUGAGAUGAGCCUGCGUUAGAUUASCUAGUUGGUAGGGUAAAGGCCUACCAAGGCGACGAUCUAUAGCUGGUCUGAGAGGACGAUCAGCCACACUGGGACUGAGACACGGCCCAGACUCCUACGGGAGGCAGCAGUGGGGAAUAUUGGACAAUGGGCGCAAGCCUGAUCCARCWMUACCGCGUGUGUGAAGAAKGCCCUAKGGUUGUAAAGCACUUUCAAUGGGGAGGAAAACAGUCCGCUUAAUACGCUGACUCUUGACAUUACCUGUAGAAGAAKCACCGGCUAACUCCGUGCCAGCAGCCGCGGUAAUACGGAGGGUGCGAGCGUUAAUCGGAAUUACUGGGCGUAAAGCGUGCGUAGGCGGUUAAUUAAUUCAKAUGUGAAAGCCCCGGGCUUAACCUGGRAACUGCAUUUGAUACUGGUUGACUAGAGUUUAGUAUAGGGGAGUGGAAUUUCAAGUGUAUCGGUGAAAUGCGUAGAUAUCUGAAGGAACAC